GCACUGCUUAUGAGUCCCACAAUAGGACGAAACGGCCGUCCAGUGC
rfam:Schistosoma margrebowiei strain Zambia genome assembly, scaffold: SMRZ_contig0001184